rnacentral:rRNA from 1 species
UACGGGGGGGGGGCAAGCGUUGUUCGGAAUUACUGGGCGUAAAGGGCUCGUAGGCGGCCAACUAAGUCAGACGUGAAAUCCCUCGGCUUAACCGGGGAACUGCGUCUGAUACUGGAUGGCUUGAGUGUGGGAGAGGGAUGCGGAAUUCCAGGUGUAGCGGUGAAAUGCGUAGAUAUCUGGAGGAACACCGGUGGCGAAGGCGGCAUCCUGGACCACGACUGACGCUGAGGCGCGAAAGCUAGGGGAGCAAACGGG